AAAUGAAUAGACGGGGACCCGCACAAGCGGUGGAGCAUGUGGUUUAAUUCGACGCAACGCGAAGAACCUUACCAGGGCUUGACAUCCCGGGCUCACCUGGGAAACCAGGUUUUCUAACCUUCGGGUUAGACUCGGAGACAGGUGGUGCAUGGUUGUCGUCAGCUCGUGUCGUGAGAUGUUGGGUUAAGUCCCGCAACGAGCGCAACCCCUACUUUUAGUUGCCAGCACUUUGGGUGGGCACUCUAGAGGAACCGCCGGUGACAAAUCGGAGGAAGGUGGGGAUGACGUCAAAUCAUCAUGCCCUUUAUGUCCUGGGCUACACACGUGCUACAAUGGUCGGUACAGAGGGCAGCGAAGCCGCAAGGUGGAGCGAAUCCCAUAAAGCCGGUCUCAGUUCGGAUUGUAGUCUGCAACUCGACUACAUGAAGUCGGAAUCGCUAGUAAUCGCGAGUCAGCAUAUCGCGGUGAAUACGUUCCCGGGUCUUGCACACACCGCCCGU
rnacentral:rRNA from 1 species